AUAAUGUUUCUAAAUAUUUUUAAUAGAGUACAUUUGAUUUUAAAAUUAUCCUAUCCUCCAAUUUUAUCAAAAUAUCUAUUCAUAUCUAUCCAUAUUACUUUAUAAAAUCCCUAAUUCCUAAAUUCCCAAAUCAAACUCAGAAACCCUAAUUCCCAAAUUGAGGAACCCUAACCCUAGCUUCCCUUUGCCUCAGCUGCACCCCACCCUUCUUCAGCGUAACACACUCACCCCUCAUCUCAGCGCCGUUUCCCCCUUUCACUCACUUAGCUUCAUCCCUCAACCCUAGCAUUUUUCUCCCAACGGUACAGAGAAGAGAGAAAGAAAUGAGAUUCGGAGAGUGAGAGAGAGCUCGUGUCCGAGAGUGAAGAGGAGAUGUAGCUCGCGUUGCUGCCUCCAUCACGACAAAACCGUCGUUCCUUGCUGCGCCGUCACCACCGUUCCAUGGAGCUAUCGCCGUCAUCCACGCGUUGCUGAGAGAAGCCCGCGACCAGCCUUGUCGUCGUCAGCACCGCGGGUUGCCAUCGCCAUCCUCGCGAGCUGCCACCGCACCGCUGUUGUGGCACUCUGCUGCUGCCGCGUCUCACCAAGCCGCCGCUGGAGGAGGAAGGCUCGCCAGUUCUGCCUCUGCUUCUUGUUCCUAAAAUCUGAUAAGAACGCCACUGCCCUGCUGGAGUUGCUGUUGAACCAUUAGAACCACUACUAUUUUGCUGCCACCGAGGUCGCUGGUGCUUGUCAAUAGUACUAUUCUGGUUCUGAAUCAAUUAGUUCAUGCCACUGCUGCUGCUGAGAAGUGAUCAGAAAUGCUGCUGCUGUUGGUUCAGUUCAAGGUUGUUGUUACCACUGCGAAUUAAAAAUAAAAGAAGGCUUUGUUGCGUUUGAUUAUCGAAUUUCGGCUAGUCGAGUGACACAGGUUCGAAGACUCCGUUUGAAGCUGCAGGCGAUUAUAGAUCUUAUUUAUGAGUUAAGUUUAUGACUUGAGUUAUUUUCAUAAAAUUUUCCUCGCCCUUGUUACUUUAAUUUUUAUUUUAUAAAGAGGGAUAGGAUUUGUAUGUGAGUUUUAUUUGAAAUCUUUUGUAUGACAGAUAUUAUUAUUAAUAAUUAUGUGAUUAUUAUUACUUGGUGA